ensembl:lncRNA
CCACGAGAUCAGCUUGACACAGGGUUGUUGCAUGCGAAAAUCAGCGGGACAUGGGGCUGACCCUCGGCUGGUGUAAUACAGAGAGAGAGGGCGGGGUGUGGCAGGGGACAUCUUUGGAUAAUUCAGCAGCUGUAUCAGGGUAACCUGGCUACCCCUCCUGUGUGGAACGAAUGGGGUGCCCAGAAGGUAAGUCUGGGGGAGGGGAGCACUGCCCAGCCGACACCUUCUGCCUGAAAUACACCCACCAGCUGAGCUCAGCCUUCUGCGGGCUCCAGCUGCAGGCAGUCACACUGGCUUCUCUUUCAAGCUCUGAAUUAUGAAACAAGGUUGCGCACGUUUUGGAAAAUCCCUUGUGUUCUUCUAAAAGUGCUAGUUUGGUCUUUCGGUUUCAUCUGGUGCUGGGAAGACUUUUCACUUCUACCUCUAGUCUCUGCUGACUUCAUUAUGAGCAAAUAAGGAGUGGUCAGUUAAGAUUUAUGGAAUUAAAUUCACUCUUCAAAAAUGACAGCAUUUGAGGGGCUGGCCCCGUGGCCGAGUGGUUAAGUUCGCGCACUCUGCUGCAGGGCCCAGUGUUUCGUCGGUUCGAAUCCUGGGCGCGGACAUGGCACCGUUCAUCGAGCCAUGCUGAGGCAGCAUCCCACAUGCCACAACUAGAAGGACCCACAACUAAGAAUAUACAACUAUGUACCGGGGGGCUUUGGGGAGAAAAAGGAAAAAAAUAAAAAUCUUUAAAAAAAAAAUGACAGCAUUUGAAAUGACUCUGUAUCCCUCCUCUGAAUCUGAACAUUUAGAAGGGAGGUAGGAUCCAGGGCUUUUAGAGUACUGGUGUCAUGGAGCCCGCUUUGUGCCAUUUUACUUAGGAGGUCUUGACUUAAGCACCUACGUGUCCUAUGGGCUGACUUCCCUACCGGACUCUCCUACCCAGCUUUGUCUUCUCCUUGCAGCCCCCUCCACAGCCUGCACCACCCCUCCUGUUCUACUGCCUCCAGGCCUUUGUUCACAGGAUGCUUUCUCUUUAUAGACCCCCUCUCCCCGCUUCCUCCCCCUGCAUCUCUAAAUCUUACCUAGUCGUCAAGGCCCAGCUCAAAUUCUGACUUCUCCAAGAGGCUUUCUUUCUGAUUCAUCACCACCAUCUCUGCAAUACUGACAGUAACCACGACAGCUCUCAAUGAUGCUCAACCUUUAAAUAGCCUCCUCCACUGCUACCCUCUUAAACCACGGUCUUUUACAGGGCAGCUGCAAUAAUCUAAGAUCCCCGGAUCCCAUUCUGCCCCCUAUUAUCUCACCCUCUCCUACACCAGCUCGAAUAGCCUUUUAAAACAGGUCCAGUAGAACCAAUGUUCACCUCGCUGAGACAAACCCAGCCCCUUCUGGGCACACAGCACCAUGUCAUCUUGCCCUUGCCUCUCUGACCACAUCUCCCACCGUCUUCCCCUACUCGCUCUGCUCCAGAUAACGAAGACUCAACAUGCUAACACACUCCUACCUCAAAGCCUUUCUUUACCGUGCUGUUUGGAAAGCUCUUCCCCAUUUUUCUUCGAGCUCAAGGACUUGGGAUAGUAUUUUAGUGGAAGUUUGGUGAUGAAUUCUCUCAGCCUUUCUUUGAAAAUGUCCUUAUUUUUCUUUCUCUUUUGAAAGAUACUUUGAGUAUAGAAUUCCAGGUUGUCAAUUAUUUUCUUUCUUUCAGCAAUUUGAAGAUGUCAUUCCAUUGUUGCCUAGAUUUCAGUUUAAGAAAUCAGCCAUCUAGUUACUUAUUUGAAGUUAAUAUAUUUUUCCCUCCUCUGCCUGCUUUUAAGAUUUUCCCAUGAUUUUCAGCGUCUUACUAUUAUGUGUCUAGAUAUGGUUUGCGUUGCC